UCCUGUCUAGAGCUCCCAAAGUGCUAGGAUUAUGGGUGUGAGCCACCUCGCCUGAACCUUCUUCCUCUUUUCCCAGGACUGAUUCAGCCAGGAGGUGUCCCCGAGGACUCCAUAUCAUCUAAGUCUCCCAAUUCUGCUCUUUGAGCCUCUAACUGGCCUGUUCCCUGGGAAGCCAAGAGGUUGUGGACAAUGACAAAAAUCCAGACUGCAUAGUGAAGAAGCUGAAGCUGAAGAAGAAACAGAUUCUAUUUGGUUGUAUACUUCCUAGCUAGACCUUAGUAACGGAAACAGAUUACUGAGACUACCCUGGAGUUUAUACCCUAACAAAAGGGCACUGCAAGAGAGUUAGCUGGCCGGAGCCAAGGUGGGCAGGGUGCAGAGCGGGGUAGGAAAGGAAGGGGAGGAGGAUGUCUUGGAACACCCUGCCUGGCAGUGUCUAGGGCAGAAGCACAGGAGCCCAGGGCAAGCCUUUCCUUCACCUCACACCACCCCUGGCGAUGAGUCAAAGUCUCUUGGAAACUGACCAAAUGGACUUUCCUCCUUGUCAGUAGUGUGGGCCUCUUGGGAGCACUCUCCUUCUGUGCACAGAAGGCUGGGUCCCUGACUGCUGAUGGGCAGGGUGGUGUGGACAAAAAGGCCUCAGCAGCAGUACUUGGACAAGGCUGGCUGGUGGGAAAAAUACCCUUGCUAUAGAGCAAACUACUAAGUUACUUAGUAAAUUUCAAAUGCUCCAAUGGCGUUUGGGCAACAUUAAAAAACUUAGCAUGGAGAAUCUUUCCUGAUUGCUACAGAAACCCACUUUUUGACUGAGGUUAAGAAAAUCAGUUGGUCUAUGCCGUUUCCCAGAGGGGACUGUGAAGCCCCAGGACACUGGACCCUGUUGUUGGCAGUCUCUCCAGACGUGAAAAAAAGUCAUAAACUAACUAUAAUUUUUUUGGACUAGAUAUACAGCCUUAAUAUAGAGAUUGUCCUACAAAGUCACCAAGCAAGUCAGCGUGGGAGAUGAAUAAUCAAGCCUGGUUGCCUGAGUUCUGGUGUCCUGUUACUUCUCUUUCUGCAUGGUGAAGACUAUUUACAAAGACAUUAUUAAAUCUCUUUAUUUGGAAGAAGCCACAGCAACAGAAAGGCUAACAAAGUCAAAACCUGGGCAUGCUCACAGUACAUCGCAGAACAUUGGGCCAUUCCUGACAAGAUCCUCUGGGUCUCCUCAGCAG